rnacentral:rRNA from 1 species
UACGUAGGCAGCAAGCGUUGUUCGGAAUUACUGGGCGUAAAGCGUGCGCAGGCGGUUCGUUGUGUCGGCGGUGAAAGCCCCGGGCUUAACCUGGGAAUGGCCGUUGAAACUGGCGAACUGGAGUGUGGCAGAGGGGGAUGGAAUUCCGCGUGUAGCAGUGAAAUGCGUAGAUAUGCGGAGGAACACCGAUGGCGAAGGCAAUCCCCUGGGCCUGCACUGACGCUCAUGCACGAAAGCGUGGGGAGCAAACAGG